GGCCCGGUGGUGAAAUUGGCAUACACGCAGCACUUAAAAUGCUGUGAGAGCAAUCUCGUGAGGGUUCGACCCCCUCCCGGGCCACAA
rnacentral:tRNA from 1 species